GUCCACGCCGUAAACGAUGAGAACUAGAUGUUGGAGGGGGAACCCUUCAGUAUCGAAGCUAACGCGAUAAGUUCUCCGCCUGGGAAGUACAGUCGCAAGACUGAAACUCAAAAGAAUUGACGGGGGCCCCGCACAAGCGGUGGAGCAUGUGGUUUAAUUCGAUGCAACGCGAAGAACCUUACCUACCCUUGACAUCCUAGGAAUCUUGCCGAGAGGUUAGAGUGCCGCAAGGAACCUAGAGACAGGUGCUGCAUGGCUGUCGU
rnacentral:rRNA from 1 species